rnacentral:rRNA from 1 species
GAUGAACGCUGGCGGCGUGCCUAAUACAUGCAAGUCGAGCGAACAGACGAGGAGCUUGCUCCUCUGACGUUAGCGGCGGACGGGUGAGUAACACGUGGAUAACCUACCUAUAAGACUGGGAUAACUUCGGGAAACCGGAGCUAAUACCGGAUAACAUGUUGAACCACAGGGUUCAACAGUGAAAGACGGUCUUGCUGUCACUUAUAGAUGGAUCCGCGCCGCAUUAGCUAGUUGGUAAGGUAACGGCUUACCAAGGCAACGAGGCGUAGCCGACCUGAGAGGGUGGUCGGCGACCCGGGAACUGGGACACGGUCCAGAGUCCUACGGGAGGCACCAGUCGGGAAUCGUCCGCAAUGGGCGAGAGCCUGACGGAGCAACGCCGCGUGAGUGAAGAAGGUCUUCGGAUCGUAAAACUCUGUUAUUAGUGAAGAACAAAUGUGUACGGAACUAUGCACGUCGUGACGGUAACUAAUCAGGAAGCCACGGCUAACUACGUG